CCUACGGGUGGCUGCAGUGGGGAAUAUUGCACAAUGGGGGCAACCCUGACGCAGCGACGCCGCGUGAGUGAAGAAGUCUUUCGGUAUGUAAAGCUCUAUUAGCAGGGAAGAAAAUGACGGUAUCUGAUUAAGAAGCACCGGCUAACUACGUGCCAGCAGCCGCGGUAAUACGUAGGGGGCAAGCGUUAUCCGGAUUUACUGGGUGUAAAGGGAGCGUAGACGGCAGCACAAGUCUGAAGUGAAAUGCCGGGGCUUAACCCCGGAACUGCAUUGGAAACUGUUCAGCUAGAGUGCAGGAGAGGUAAGUGGAAUUCCUAGUGUAGCGGUGAAAUGCGUAGAUAUUAGGAGGAACACCAGUGGCGAAGGCGGCUGACUGGACUGUAACUGACGUUGAGGCGCGAAAGCGUGGGGAGCAAACAGGAUUAGAUACCCGUGUAGUC
rnacentral:rRNA from 1 species